AUUGAACGCUGGCGGCAGGCCUAACACAUGCAAGUCGAGCGGAGCGGCGGACGGGUGAGUAAUGCCUAGGAAUCUGCCUGGUAGUGGGGGAAAACGUCGGGAAAGGGGCGCCAAACACGCAUCCUUUCGAUUGAGAUUAGGUUGGAUUAGCUAGUUGGUGGGGUAAAGGCUUCCCAAGGCGACGCUCCGAAACUGGUCUGAGAGGAUGAUCAGUCACACUGGAACUGAGACACGGUCCAGACUCCUACGGGAGGCAGCAGUGGGGAAUAUUGGACAAUGGGCGAAAGCCUGAUCCAGCCAUGCCGCGUGUGUGAAGAAGGUCUUCGGAUUGUAAAGCACUUUAAGUUGGGAGGCGUUACCAACAGAAUAAGCACCGGCUAACUUCGUGCCAGCAGCCGCGGUAAUUC
rnacentral:rRNA from 1 species